rnacentral:rRNA from 1 species
UACGAAGGGGGCUAGCGUUGCUCGGAAUCACUGGGCGUAAAGGGCGCGUAGGCGGCCAUUCAAGUCGGAGGUGAAAGCCCAGGGCUCAACCCUGGAAUUGCCUUCGAUACUGUUUGGCUAGAGACCGGAAGAGGUAAGUGGAACUGCGAGUGUAGAGGUGAAAUUCGUAGAUAUUCGCAAGAACACCAGUGGCGAAGGCGGCAUCCUGGACCGGUAUUGACGCUGAGGCGCGAAAGCUAGGGGAGCAAACGGGG